rnacentral:rRNA from 1 species
AGCGAACGCUGGCGGCAGGCUUAACACAUGCAAGUCGAACGGGCUUCUUCGGAAGUCAGUGGCAGACGGGUGAGUAACACGUGGGAACGUGCCCUUCGGUUCGGAAUAACUCAGGGAAACUUGAGCUAAUACCGGAUACGCCCUUUUGGGGAAAGGUUUACUGCCGAAGGAUCGGCCCGCGUCUGAUUAGCUUGUUGGUGGGGUAACGGCCUACCAAGGCGACGAUCAGUAGCUGGUCUGAGAGGAUGAUCAGCCACACUGGGACUGAGACACGGCCCAGACUCCUACGGGAGGCAGCAGUGGGGAAUAUUGGACAAUGGGCGCAAGCCUGAGCCAGCCAUGCCGCGUGAGUGAUGAAGGCCUUAGGGUUGUAAAGCUCUUUUGUCCGGGACGAUAAUGACGGUACCGGAAGAAUAAGCCCCGGCUAACUUCGUG